rnacentral:pre_miRNA from 1 species
CUGUAUUCUACAGUGCACGUGUCUCCAGUGUGAGUAAGCGACUGGAGACACGGCCCUGUCGGGAUAAC